rnacentral:rRNA from 1 species
AUUGAACGCUGGCGGCAGGCCUAACACAUGCAAGUCGGGCGAGCGGCAGACGGGUGAGUAAUGUAUGGGGAUCUGCCAGAUGGAGGGGGAUAACUACUGGAAACGGUAGCUAAUACCGCAUACCAUCAGAUGAACCCAUAGGGGAUUAGCUUGUAGGUGAGGUAACGGCUCCCCUAGGCGAAGAUCCCUAGCUGGUCUGAGAGGAUGAUCAGCCACACUGGGACUGAGACACGGCCCAGACUCCUGCGGGAGGCAGCAGUGGGGAAGAUUGAACAAUGGGCGCAAGCCUGAUGCAGCCAUGCCGCGUGUAUGAAGAAGGCCUUCGGGUUGUAAAGUACUUGCAGUCGGGAGGCGUUACCGACAGAAGAAGCACCGGCUAACUCCGUGCCAGUAGCCGCGGUAAUUC